rnacentral:pre_miRNA from 11 species
UUUUUACCUGAAAGACCCCCAGAGUGGGGAGACCCUCACUCAAGUCUCGGGAUAAGCCGAUGUCCCAAUAAUUCAAGAGAGACU